GCUGGGAUAGCUCAGUUGGUAGAGCAUAAGACUCUUAACCUCAGGGUUGUGAGUUCAAGUCCCAUGCUAGGCA